UACGAAGGGUGCAAGCGUUACUCGGAAUUACUGGGCGUAAAGCGCACGUAGGCGGCGAUUCAAGUCAGAGGUGAAAGCCCGGGGCUCAACUCCGGAACUGCCUUUGAAACUAGAUUGCUAGAAUCUUGGAGAGGCGAGUGGAAUUCCGAGUGUAGAGGUGAAAUUCGUAGAUAUUCGGAAGAACACCAGUGGCGAAGGCGACUCGCUGGACAAGUAUUGACGCUGAGGUGCGAAAGCGUGGGGAGCAAACAGG
rnacentral:rRNA from 1 species